AGCCCAGAGCCUGAAUCAGUGUGUGUGUUAGUGGUAGCGUCAGGACAGGCGCGCGAUACAGGGUGACAGCCCCGUACACAAAAAUGCACAUACUGUGAGCUCGAUGAGUAGGGCGGGACACGUGGUAUCCUGUCUGAAUAUGGGGGGACCAUCCUCCAAGGCUAAAUACUCCUGACUGACCGAUAGUGAACCAGAACCGUGAGUGAAAGGCGAAAAGAA
rnacentral:rRNA from 1 species